rnacentral:rRNA from 1 species
GGGUUCGGAGUGCGGGCUCUUUGGGCCACCUCCCAUCCGUGUCUAUUAUACCCUGUUGCUUCGGCGGGCCCGCCGCUUGUCGGCCGCCGGGGGGGCGCCUUUGCCCCCCGGGCCCGUGCCCGCCGGAGACCCCAACACGAACACUGUCUGAAAGCGUGCAGUCUGAGUUGAUUGAAUGCAAUCAGUUAAAACUUUCAACAAUGGAUCUCUUGGUUCCGGCAUCGAUGAAGAACGCAGCGAAAUGCGAUAACUAAUGUGAAUUGCAGAAUUCACUGAAUCAUCGAGUCUUUGAACGCACAUUGCGCCCCCUGGUAUUCCGGGGGGCAUGCCUGUCCGAGCGUCAUUGCUGCCCUCAAGCCCGGCUUGUGUGUUGGGUCGCCGUCCCCCUCUCCGGGGGGACGGGCCCGAAAGGCAGCGGCGGCACCGCGUCCGAUCCUCGAGCGUAUGGGGCUUUGUCACAUGCUCUGUAGGAUUGGCCGGCGCCUGCCGACGUUUUCCAACCAUUUUUUCCAGGUUGACCUCGGAUCAGGUAGGGAUACCCGCUGAACUUAAGCAUAUCAAUAAGCGGAGGAAUUACCGAGUG